rnacentral:rRNA from 1 species
UACGUAGGUGGCAAGCGUUGUCCGGAUUUACUGGGCGUAAAGGGCGCGUAGGCGGCCACCGCAAGUCAGUUGUGAAAUCUCUGGGCUUAACCCAGAAAGGUCAACUGAUACUGCGGGGCUAGAGUGCAGAAGGGGCAACUGGAAUUCUCGGUGUAGCGGUGAAAUGCGCAGAUAUCAGGAGGAACACCGGUGGCGAAGGCGGGUCUCUGGGCCGAUACUGACGCUGAGGAGCGAAAGCGUGGGGAGCGAACAGG